UAUGUGGUUUAAUUCGAUGCAACGCGAAGAACCUUACCUGGUCUUGACAUCCCGGAGACCCUUAGGAAACUAGGGGGUGCUUCCAUCUGGAAGAAUCUGGAGACAGGUGCUGCAUGGCUGUCGUCAGCUCGUGUCGUGAGAUGUUGGGUUAAGUCCCGCAACGAGCGCAACCCUUGCCUUUAGUUGCCAGCAGUUCGGCUGGGCACUCUAAAGGGACUGCCGGUGUUAAACCGGAGGAAGGUGGGGAUGACGUCAAGUCCUCAUGGCCUUUAUGACCAGGGCUACACACGUACUACAAUGGCCGAUACAAAGGGCAGCGACACUGCGAGGUGAAGCCAAUCCCGUAAAAUCGGUCUCAGUCCGGAUUGGAGUCUGCAACUCGACUCCAUGAAGUUGGAAUCGCUAGUAAUCGUGGAUCAGCCAAGCCGCGGUGAAUACGUUCCCGGGCCUU
rnacentral:rRNA from 1 species